GACGAACGCUGGCGGCGUGCUUAACACAUGCAAGUCGAACGGAAAGGCCCUGCUUGCAGGGUGCUCGAGUGGCGAACGGGUGAGUAACACGUGGGUGAUCUGCCCCUUACUUUGGGAUAAGCCUGGGAAACUGGGUCUAAUACUGGAUAGGACCAUGCUGGAGGUGGUGUGGUGGAAAGAUUAGUUUCGGUAAGGGAUGAGCUCGCGGCCUAUCAGCUUGUUGGUGGGGUAAUGGCCUACCAAGGCGUCGACGGGUAGCCGGCCUGAGAGGGUGGACGGCCACAUUGGGACUGCGAUACGACCCAGACUCCUACGGGAGGCAGCAGUGGGGGAUAUUGCACAAUGGGCGCAAGCCUGAUGCAGCGACGCCGCGUGGGGGGUGACGGCCUUCGGGUUGUAAACUCCUUUCAGCCAUGACGAAGCCCUUGUGGUGACGGUAGUGGUAGAAGAAGCACCGGCUAACUACGUG
rnacentral:rRNA from 1 species